rnacentral:rRNA from 1 species
GCGCACGCGGGCGGUCGUCAGUGGGAUGUGAAAUCCCUGGGCUCACUGGGAACUGCAUUCGAAACGGCAGGCUAGAGUCUGUAGAGGGGGGUAGAUUUCCAGGUGAGCGUGAAAUGCGUAGAGAUCUGGAGGAAUACCGGUGGCGAAGGCGGCCCCCUGGACAAGACUGACGCUCAGGUGCGAAGCGUGGGGAGCAAACAGGAUAGAUACCCUGGUAGUCCACGCCGUAAACGAUGUCGAUUUGGAGGUUGUGCCCUGAGGCGUGGCUUCCGGAGCUAACGCGUUAAAUCGACCGCCUGGGGAGUACGGCCGCAAGGUUAAAACUCAAAUGAAUUGACGGGGGCCCGCACAAGCGGUGGAGCAUGUGGUUUAAUUCGAUGCAACGCGAAGAACCUUACCUGGUCUUGACAUCCACAGAACUUUCCAGAGAUGGUUUGGUGCCUUCGGGAACUGUGAGACAGGUGCUGCAUGGCUGUCGUCAGCUCGUGUUGUGAAAUGUUGGGUUAAGUCCCGCAACGAGCGCAACCCUUAUCCUUUGUUGCCAGCGGUUAGGCCGGGAACUCAAAGGAGACUGCCAGUGAUAAACUGGAGGAAGGUGGGGAUGACGUCAAGUCAUCAUGGCCCUUACGACCAGGGCUACACACGUGCUACAAUGGCGCAUACAAAGAGAAGCGACCUCGCGAGAGCAAGCGGACCUCAUAAAGUGCGUCGUAGUCCGGAUUGGAGUCUGCAACUCGACUCCAUGAAGUCGGAAUCGCUAGUAAUCGUAGAUCAGAAUGCUACGGUGAAUACGUUCCCGGGCCUUGUACACACCGCCCGUCACACCAUGGGAGUGGGUUGCUUAAAGAAGUAGGUAGCUUAACCUUCGGGAGGG